rnacentral:rRNA from 1 species
CGGUAGCUAAUACCGCAUAACGUCGCAAGACCAAAGAGGGGGACCUUAGGGCCUCUUGCCAUCGGAUGUGCCCAGAUGGGAUUAGCUAGUAGGUGGGGUAACGGCUCACCUAGGCGACGAUCCCUAGCUGGUCUGAGAGGAUGACCAGCCACACUGGAACUGAGACACGGUCCAGACUCCUACGGGAGGCAGCAGUGGGGAAUAUUGCACAAUGGGCGCAAGCCUGAUGCAGCCAUGCCGCGUGUAUAAAGAAGGCCUUCGGGUUGUAAAGUACUUUCAGCGGGGAGGAAGGGAGUAAAGUUAAUACCUUUGCUCAUUGACGUUACCCGCAGAAGAAGCACCGGCUAACUCCGUGCCAGCAGCCGCGGUAAUACGGAGGGUGCAAGCGUUAAUCGGAAUUACUGGGCGUAAAGCGCACGCAGGCGGUUUGUUAAGUCAGGAUGUGAAAUCCCCGGGCUCAACCUGGGAACUGCAUCUGAUACUGGCAAGCUUGGAGUCUCGUAGAGGGGGGGUAGAAUUCCAGGUGUAGCGGUGAAAUGCGUAGAGAUCUGGAGGAAUACCGGUGGCGAAGGGCGG